rnacentral:rRNA from 1 species
UACCCGCAGCACAAGUGGUGGUCAUUAUUAUUGGGCCUAAAGCGUCCGUAGCUGGCUUGUUAGAUGCCUGGGUAAAUCGAUGCGCUCAACGUAUCGAAUUCCGGGUAGACCGGCAAGCUCGAGACCGGGAGAGGUGUAGGCUACUCGAGGGGUAGGGGUAAAAUCCUGUAAUCCUUCGGGGAGGACCAGUGGCGAAGGCGCUACACUAGAACGGCUCUGACAGUGAGGGACGAAGCCCUGGGGCGCAAACCGG